rnacentral:rRNA from 1 species
UCCCAGACUCCUACGGGAGGCAGCAGUGAGGAAUAUUGGUCAAUGGCCGGAAGGCUGAACCAGCCAAGUCGCGUGAGGGACGACUGCCCUAUGGGUUGUAAACCUCUUUUAUAAGGGAAGAAUAAAUGCUACGUGUAGCAUGAUGCCUGUACCUUAUGAAUAAGCAUCGGCUAACUCCGUGCCAGCAGCCGCGGUAAUACGGAGGAUGCGAGCGUUAUCCGGAUUUAUUGGGUUUAAAGGGUGCGUAGGCGGGACCUUAAGUCAGCGGUAAAAUUGCGGUGCUCAACGCCGUAGAGCCGUUGAAACUGGGGUUCUUGAGUGAGCGAGAAGUAUGCGGAAUGCGUGGUGUAGCGGUGAAAUGCAUAGAUAUCACGCAGAACUCCGAUUGCGAAGGCAGCAUACCGGCGCCCAACUGACGCUCAGGCACGAAAGCGUGGGUAUCGAACAGGAUUAGAUACCCCAGUA